rnacentral:hammerhead_ribozyme from 1 species
AAACUGACGAGUCUCAAAUAGGGCGAAACGCGCGUCCUGGAU